CCUUUACAACAUCAGAAGGAUUCGUCCAUUUCUAUCCAUACAGGCCAUUCAGGUGCUGGUUCAGUCUCUUGUCAUUUCAAGACUGGACUACUGCAACUCACUCCUGGCAGGUCUUCCUCUGAGCACCAUCUGACCUUUGCAACUGAUCCAGAAUGCAGCUGCUUGACUUUUCAACCUUCCUAAGUUCUCCCACACCACCAAAUUGCUAUGCUCCCUCCACUGGCUUCCUGUAGCUGCCCGCAUCAGAUUUAAAACUCUGAUACAUGCCUACAAAGCCCAAAAUGGACCAGCACCCACUUACCUCAAAUCAUUUAACACAGCCCGCACUGCCCCACGCUCCAUCCAAACCUCUAGCACUGCUACACUGUUGCCACCAUCUCUCAGGGUACAAGGAAGGCAUGCAUCAAGACUCUUCUCUGUUCUGGCACCUUGAUGGUGGAAUGAACUUCCCCUAGAUGUCUGAACAGCUGAGUCACUUGCUACCUUUUCCUCUACCUACCUUUUCCUGAAGUACUUAAAUUAGCACUUUUCAUAUUUUAAAAAAUAUAUAAUUCUGUAUCUUCUUACUACGUUUCCUCCCAACAGAGUUUUAAGACUGAGGGUAUUCUUAGUCUGUGACCUAGUGAACCAGUAUUUAUUGAUAGAGCACAAAGCACUUCAAAGCACUUCUGUAACUCACUCUGGAUAAGGGCAUCUGCCAAAUGCAAGGACAUUUCACAUUGUCCAGUCAUUAUGAGGACAUUUGUCAUUGUUCAGUCAUGACACUAUCCAAUCAUUAUGAGAAGCUAGUGGUUGUGAGGACAUUUGACAUUGUCCAGUCAUUAUGACAACCUGGUGGUUUGAGGAUUUGAUUUUAUAAUACAUCUCAUGAUAAACUUGAACACAUUUUUGUUUUCAAGGUUUUUUUAACAUCAGACACUGUACUGUACCACACUGUACCCUACUGUACUAUUAUUUACAUUUAUGACAGUUUGGCAGUGCUGGGAUUUGAACUCAUGACCUCCCAGUCAGAAGGCCAACGUCUUAACUACUGUGCUAUUUAUACAUGAACAUGUAUUUAAGGUACAUUAUUGGACUUUGUGGACCACUUGACCAUCAUGGAUAAACGUAACAUGGGGAAAGGAAAAUAAAAAUUGUGUCUUAAAUGGUAACCUUCUCAAUAUUUCCUACAAACUGUAAAUUGCGGGUAUUCUUUACCUCGCUACUGCUCAUUGUUGGGACAAUAUCCUUUUUUGGUAUAUUGUAUGUUUUCAUAAAUGCACUGGAUAAUCUUCACUACACUACACUUAAGCGUUCUUUGAUUUGUCCCUCUAGAGGAACCUUAAACUUUCCAUAUAGAACCAUUCAAUAUAAUGUUUCUCUAUCAGAGAGGGUUCCAAGUAAAACCCAUUUAGAAAACCGAGAACCUUUAACUAUAUACAUAAACCCCCAACCCUGAGGAAACUCCCAAAAUAGUUCAUUUGUAGUGGAUGGAGCCAGAGAUAGUCAGAGUCUGUAGAGUAUAUAAUGAUGUUGCCGUUUUAUUUCUCAAAUUUUUCACAAUAUUCAGCUCACAAUACUUUGAUGACUUUUUCCCUGGCUUCUUUAGGGGAGGGACAGAGGACACAAGGUGAAUAUGAAAAACUACUCGUAAACCUUCCCUGCAUGUAUAAAUGGACUGAUAAAUGUUGGAGGCAAUAAUUCUAAUAGAAAGCAUGUAUCAGUAAAAUCUUUCCCUCCUUCUUUGCCCUUUUUUGGAUCCUUAAUUCUCUGUAUUGACAGUGAAUUAAGGAUAUCGACAGUGACUGAGAGAGAGAAAGAGAGAGAGAGAGAGAAUGACACAGAGAGAGAUAGUUUGUAUAGGUAUAGUGAGAGCCUAAACACACCAACAACAACUGACAAGGAGGAUUGAUGUGAUCACUGUCCUGCUGCCAUUGCUAUGAUCUUCCCCCUGCUCUGGCAGAUUGUUAUGGUAGGAGCUAGGAACAGUACCACUGGAAAUGGUACUGAUCUAACACUCCUCAGACAUGAAGUAGGUGCCUUAGUGUGUUAGAACAUCUUUAGGGACGGUAACCUGCCAAAAUAGUAAGAACAAAUCAUAGAAGAAGCUGUCCAUAUAAUUUUUCUCAUCUCAUGAACCUUGGGGGUACCAGGUACCAUAGUCCAUGGUUGUGUAGUUCAGAUUAUAUACUUGUGCCCUGUGGCACAACUAGAUCUAUGUCAACAUAGUCAAAUUGAACCUUAGUGAUGGGUUACCCAGCGACAGCUUGCGGGGCAAGUUCUGCUGCUCGGAUUUCCAUUUUUGGUCCCUGAAUGUCUUCUCAAAAGGUGUGUAACUGCAUAUGGCCCAGGCACAUAGUUGCUUUGCUUUCAUAGUUUUAUGCCUUAUAGAUAGGCACUGUUACUGAGGAAAUGCUGCAUGUGUGGUCCUACCCACAUGGACCAUAUGCACAGUAACAUCUGUCCACUUUUUACAUUCCUUCAUUUGGCUAACACUUUUAUCCAAAGCAGCUCACACUUGAUGCAGGAAAGAAGUGAGCAGAGUCUUGCUGAAGGACACAUCACUUGGGAUUUUGAACUCAUGACCUCCUGAUCUUUAGCUCAAAAACCUUAACCACUGAGCCAGCAGUGCUCUAGAGCCAGUAGGUUAUGGCGUCAUGGUCUCCCAUGGUCAUGGCUUACUUUUGGGAUAAGCUCAGAUAAGUGGAUAGGACAAGGCAGGUGUAUGGUCAUGGACCAGGAACCUUGUACUCGCAGGAGAUACUUGCUUGGUAAGACUUAAUGGGUCUCACUGGUCUUAUCCACUACUCAGACCUUGUCCCAGCCAUAAGCAAUGAACCUGCGGGCCCCUGAAUCUGUAACCUAACAUCACAGAAUACUAUGCAUAUGGUUAAUUCAGAGGACGCUGGACAGGCAUCACACUACAUAGAUAAAAUUAUAAAAGUAGGCCGCAUGUAAAAGUUUUCCAUCCCUCCAUGUCCUUCGUUUCGCCCCUGAUCUUCUUUACCUUUAUAGAAAAAAGGUUUCUGUUAUUUUCUCUCCUCACAUACCUGUAUAUAUAAUAGGAUGACUACAGAUCAUCUAGAAGAUGCAGUUAGGUCCUGAAAUCCAAAGGUCUGUUACUGAACACUGCAUAGAAGUGUGUAAUAUUAUCUAAAGUUAUCUAAUAGUGCUGUUGAGGCUGGUGAGGGAAAGCAGUUUAUAGCUGCUAGAAGGUAAGAGAGAACAGGAAUUAACUUUCACCGACAUUAAAUAUAACAAAAAAAAUUAUAAAAAGUAUUAUGCAUCAUUCUUUAAUAAAAAAUAAAUGUAUAAAAUAGAAUAAUUAUAAAAGUGAUUGGUAACAGGAACUGUGCGUCAUCACACCACCCCAAUAUUUACUGUGUGUAUAUAAGCAUCAAAGUAAAUGUGUGUGUGUGUGUGUGUGUGUGUGUCCUCAGUUGCGCAGCUCCUUCAAACAAGCUUUUGGGAAGAAGAAAAGCUCAAAGCUUCAGACGUCUCAUGAUGAGCUUGAAGAAAUGACAGACUCGUCUGUUCCGGAAUCACCGAAACUGCAACACACACACACAGACGGCAGCACACAGGCCUUACACACAUCUUCAUCCACCACUGAUAAAUCAUCCCCCAUUUGGCUGCCAAAGAAAAGACAAACGGCCAUGUCAUCUACAAACACAGAUCUCGGUAAAAGGCAGAGUGAUGCAUGAUGGGUACAGGUGAAUGUGGUUUGGCGUGAUCUUUGCACAUGACCCAUAGAAAAGAGCUGAGGCUGUAGUGCAUUGUGGGUAAUAAUAUAGUGAACUGUCUAGUGAGAAUUCGGACACCACAAACCCAUAAACACCCAAAACGGUGCACAACCUGUCUGCUGUGUGUGUGUGUGUGUGUGUGUGUGUGUGUGUGUGUGUGUGUGUGUGUAAAGUGUUUAUACAGGACCGUAUUCCGGGUCAGAGACUUAAGUCCAAAUGUUCGGUCAGUAUUUGCGAGUGGAAAGUCCCUGAUAUUCAGAGUCCUGGUAUUACGCAGCUAUGUGUUAUGGUGUUGAAUGUGCUAUGUGCUGAAAUAGAUCUAACAGGAGUGUUGUAUAUCACUAAUAUAUCACUGCAUGUAUAAAGAUCGCUGUAAUGGUCACAUUAAUCAGUGGUUUAAUCGAACAAAAUGGCUUCCACUCAUUAUUCAGCAGCACAGGGAAUAGAAUAGCACUUGAUCCAGCGCAGACUGUUCUAAUAAGAUCACUGAAGUCUACUCUGAAUACGGCCCUGUGAGGCUGAGUUAUCCUCCUGACAGGUAUGUGGUGUAGUCCUGCUAU
ensembl:lncRNA